rnacentral:rRNA from 1 species
GAUGAACGCUGGCGGCGUGCCUAAUACAUGCAAGUCGAGCGAACGGACGAGAAGCUUGCUGUGCUGAUGUUAGCGGCGGACGGGUGAGUAACACGUGGAUAACCUACCUAUAAGACUGGGAUAACGUCGGGAAACCGGAGCUAAUACCGGAUAAGAUUUUGAACCGCAGGGUUCAAGAGUGAAAGACGGGCUUGCUGUCACUUAUAGAUGGAUCCGCGCUGCAUUAGCUAGUUGGUAAGGUAACGGCUUACCAAGGCAACGAUGCGUAGGCGACCUGAGAGACUGAUCGGCCACACUGGAACUGAGACACGGUCCAGACUCCUACGGGAGGCAGCAGUCGCGAACCUUCCGCAAUGGGCGAAAGCCUGACGGAGCAACGCCGCGUCAGUGAUGACGGUCUUCGGAUCGUAAAACUCUGUUAUUAGGGAAGAACCUCUUUGUAAGUAAAUGUACCCAUCUUGACGGUACCUACUCAGAAAGCCCCGGCUAACUACGUG